rnacentral:rRNA from 1 species
UGAGGGAAAGGCGAAAAGAACCCCGGCGAGGGGAGUGAAAAAGAACCUGAAACCGUGUACGUACAAGCAGUGGGAGCCCCACCACUAAGCCAGUGGUGAACUCCACAUACGCAUCCUUUGCUGAGGAUACGGUUAACGGAGCGAAAGCGACGUUCAACCUCAAAAGAAGCAGAGGGGGCUUAGUGGUGGGGUGACUGCGUACCUUUUGUAUAAUGGGUCAGCGACUUAUAUUCUGUAGCAAGGUUAACCGUAUAGGGGAGCCGGAGGGAAACCGAGUCUUAACCGGGCGUUAAGUUGCAGGGUAUAGACCCGAAACCCGGUGAUCUAGCCAUGGGCAGGUUGAAGGUUGGGUAACACUAACUGGAGGACCGAACCGACUAAUGUUGAAAAAUUAGCGGAUGACCUGUGGCUGGGGGUGAAAGGCCAAUCAAACCGGGAGAUAGCUGGUUCUCCCCGAAAGCUAUUUAGGU